GACGAACGCUGGCGGCGUGCUUAACACAUGCAAGUCGAGCGGUAAGGCCCUUCGGGGUACACGAGCGGCGAACGGGUGAGUAACACGUGAGUAAUCUGCCCUUCACUUUGGGAUAACCACCGGAAACGGUGGCUAAUACCGAAUAUGACCCCCUUCUGCAUGGUUGGGGGUGGAAAGUUCCGGCGGUGAAGGAUGUGCUCGCGGCCUAUCAGCUUGUUGGUGAGGUAAUGGCUCACCAAGGCUUCGACGGGUAGCCGGCCUGAUAGGGUGACCGGCCACACUGGGACUGAGACACGGCCCAG
rnacentral:rRNA from 1 species